rnacentral:rRNA from 1 species
UUCCUUGAACCGCAUGGUUCAAGGAUGAAAGACGGUUUCGGCUGUCACUUACAGAUGGACCCGCGGCGCAUUAGCUAGUUGGUGGGGUAAUGGCUCACCAAGGCGACGAUGCGUAGCCGACCUGAGAGGGUGAUCGGCCACACUGGGACUGAGACACGGCCCAGACUCCUACGGGAGGCAGCAGUAGGGAAUCUUCCGCAAUGGACGAAAGUCUGACGGAGCAACGCCGCGUGAGUGAUGAAGGUUUUCGGAUCGUAAAGCUCUGUUGUUAGGGAAGAACAAGUGCGAGAGUAACUGCUCGCACCUUGACGGUACCUAACCAGAAAGCCACGGCUAACUACGUGCCAGCAGCCGCGGUAAUACGUAGGUGGCAAGCGUUGUCCGGAAUUAUUGGGCGUAAAGGGCUCGCAGGCGGUUUCUUAAGUCUGAUGUGAAAGCCCCCGGCUCAACCGGGGAGGGUCAUUGGAAACUGGGAAACUUGAGUGCAGAAGAGGAGAGUGGAAUUCCACGUGUAGCGGUGAAAUGCGUAGAGAUGUGGAGGACACCAGUGGCGAACGCGACUCUCUGGUCUGUACUGACGCU